rnacentral:misc_RNA from 1 species
GGUCCCAAUAGUUAUCAGAUUUGGCUUGGGGGAACACCCAGUCAAACUGCAUUGGCAAGAAGCUUCAUGAAUAAGGUUAAGAUUCAAGAACUUGAAAAAGUUCUGGAACCUCUGUUUUAUUAUUGGAAACGAAAAAGGCAAUCAAAAGAAUCAUUUGGCGACUUCACAAUCCGCAUGGGAUUUGAGAAACUUCAGGAGUGGGU